UGGGGAAUAUUGGACAAUGGGCGAAAGCCUGAUCCAGCCAUGCCGCGUGUGUGAAGAAGGUCUUCGGAUUGUAAAGCACUUUAAGUUGGGAGGAAGGGCAGUUACCUAAUACGUAUCUGUUUUGACGUUACCGACAGAAUAAGCACCGGCUAACUCUGCGCCAGCAGCCGCGGUAAUACAGAGGGUGCAAGCGUUAAUCGGAAUUACUGGGCGUAAAGCGCGCGUAGGUGGUUUGUUAAGUUGGAUGUGAAAUCCCCGGGCUCAACCUGGGAACUGCAUUCAAAACUGACAAGCUAGAGUAUGGUAGAGGGUGGUGGAAUUUCCUGUGUAGCGGUGAAAUGCGUAGAUAUAGGAAGGAACACCAGUGGCGAAGGCGACCACCUGGACUGAUACUGACACUGAGGUGCGAAAGCGUGGGGAGCAAACAGGAUUAGAUACCCCCGUAGUCCCUGAGCGGGCUGGCAAGGCGCAU
rnacentral:rRNA from 1 species